AGUGUGCCUAUGAUGAAAUGUUUCAACCUGUGUCAGGAUUUGAACCACUGGGCAUGUAAAUCUCAGUAGGUUUUUUUUUUUUUUUUUGCUGAGGCAUAUU
rnacentral:snoRNA from 1 species